CGGGGGAGUCUGCAGUGACAAAGACGACGUACGGCCAGCGCCG
rnacentral:rRNA from 1 species